rnacentral:lncRNA from 1 species
AACUCAUCUGGGUUCGUCGAGGCGCCCGUAUUACUCUUAGGGUCAUGAUAACUCUUGCAAAAUUUAUCCAUAGCUCCUCUCUGUGAUUCUAUCAACUCAUCCACACGUCCUUUCCUUUUCCUUUUCUCGCAGCCUGAUUCAUAUUUUCUAGACGACAUGAUAUCCCAUAGUACUGAAAUUAUUAUAAAUACACAAUAGUUAUAAAUUGGUUAAUAUUAAAUAACUUGUGAUAGUGAAUUAAUAAUUAAUGGUAUGGAGAAUUGGAAAAUUGACAAUCAAGCAGCCUACCUAGUUGCUGUCGCAGUCGAAUAGGAACAACCUGAUCUCGUUUCUCGUCAAGCGAGG